CUCUUAUUUUGUUUGUUGCAAGCUUCAAAUUAAUACGUUACUCUAGUUCUAAGCAAUCUAAGUUGACAAAAUAUACUUUCGGUACACUUAGAAUCUAAAACAUAGAUCUGUAUGAAUGGUUUAGAGGUGGAUGACCACUCAAAGUUUACCUAACAGAUUAUCUACUCCCCUCUCUCCCUCCCAGAACAAAAUUUAAAAAAAAUCUAUAUUAUGAGUAUAUAUUAAUUGUGGUUUCUAUUAGU